AGUGCAUGCUCUGACCUAAGAUCUGGUGUCCCGUCACCUCCAUCCCAUGGGAUGGAAGAGGGGCUGUCUGCAGGGGUGAACUUGCGCUCCCCGACUCGGGAGGAACUGAAGAUGCUGCCAGCACUCAAGUCACUUAAAGUAUUACAAGAACUGUCAGCAUGGGGAAGAGCCUCCUUUCUACAGCCAAACGCUAUCGGCUGCUAGUUUCUAGCUCCAAAAUUUAGACGCUCCUCUGCUGCUCCCACUGGGUUGGUGUUUUUGUCAGCAAUGAAGAAAUAAGUCCCGGAUUUGAAGCUGUCCCUCAGACCGUCAGAUUUGGAACAACUCCACUGUCUUUUUCCAACAGCUCGGAGGCAUUCAAAAGACUAUUCAUGGUGAGUGGAGGGACAGUCCUGCAGAGAGAUCAUGAACGGACACACCUGAAGACAAACAAUUUUUAAUACAAUUAUUUAAGUCUUUCAUACCUUAAUCCCAUCCAUCCAGAAGAUUCCACCAGCUGUGGAAGGACUGUUCAAGUGGAAAGAAACCUUUUGUAAUUGAUAAUCACAUUCUUUUGUGAAAAGCUGGUCAAAACAUUCCAAAGGACCUUUAUUUUUUUUCUGAUGAGCUUUUUUGUCAGGAUUUCAACUCAAUGAGAGAGAGAAAAAGGCAAUCUCAACAGGGUGUUUACAACACUUGAAGAUUUUCCACCAGAAGCAUCAAUGGCAUGUUUAUGUAACUUCAGGAAUUUUCUACUGCUGCUCCUAUCUGAAACUGCCUAAAUAAAUAUUGGUUGGGUUCAUCCAGAAGGUGACAGGCAGUAUUGUUGGCAGCAGCUAUGAGACCUGAGAUGUUGUCCUCUGUGGAUACUGCAUCUGUAUGAACGUCCCACUGAGAACAGCUCCCUUGGCUCUGUGGUGGACAGAAGAUGUGGAUGCUUCACUAGAGCUGUGCUGAGGCCACUCAGUCAACCACUAGUAAAACUAGUCCCAGAAUAAUCUGGAUGCAGAAGGUUCAUAUGCAUCUGAACCGAUGUGAAACACUGAUGAACGGAUCUGUGCUGCAAGCUGGGGAUAUUCCCUAUUUCAGUGACAGAGCAAAUCAUCUCUCACUGUUCUGCAUCUCCACAUAGCACCAAGUUCUGGUAGGUGCAAGAAGGGACUGCUUGAAAUGCAGCUUCAGAGGACAGUGAAGAGAAACUGGGUGGAAAAGAGAAGGGUGGAUCACUUAGAGGAGAAAAAAAAACGAAAAGGAAAACGGACAUCUCUGUAAAGGGAGAAGAGGGGGAAUGUAUCCCACGGUCUAGGAAACUUGACUGUAACAGGGAAAAUGGGGAAAAAAAACCAAGAGUCUAUUGAAAGAAAGAUUGAAACAGCUUUAGGAAGAGGAAAAUGUUGCUCUAAAAAGGUAUGGAAUAAUGAAAUUUUUAGCAUCUCUAGUAGAAGAAAAAAGUCACAGCUAGGAAAUUCAGGUUCAGCAUUGCGAGGAGAAAAAAAAAAUCCCCAAAACUCUUCAUGGCCAGAGGUUUUAAAGAACAGAUAGAGCAAACACCUGCUCAAACUAACCUUGGAGGCUGGACUAGGUGGCUCUCCAAAGCCUCCUCCAGCCCUGCCCUGCUGGAGCUAAGAGGACGAUGUUCACAGCAGGUUUAUGCCCACGCUGGUUGGCAGUUUCUCACAAGACCAGGCUGCACUGUGCUUGGUAACAGGAAUGUUACAAGAUCAGAAGGUCUGGCAAGAUUUGUGCUUGAGAAGGAGGGAAAUCGUGACUGAUUUGGUAGCAUUUGAUCCAAAAGACAUCUGUAAAGAAAACUUCUGACUGUGGAGACCCUCUGCAACUGGAGCUUGCACUUCCCUCCUUUUGGAGAUUCAGAAGGGGUUGGAUUUCAAGCUCUGCUUUGGGCUCCAUCUCUGGUGAGAAGAUUGUGCUCUUGCUCCAAGGCUACAUUAGAGCUGAUGCUCUGGUGCUCAUGGCUGUCACAUCUGUGUAUGGUCUUAGCUUUGCAGGUUUAAGUUACAGAGACAAAUUUUAAAGCACAAACCUUGGAGACUCAAACCUAUCAAAAAACAGUCCUAUAACUUUGUGUUAUU